rnacentral:rRNA from 1 species
CUAAAAACCCCCUCAUACAUUUUAAGACCUCAAAUCAGGUGGGAUUACCCGCUGAACUUAAGCAUAUC